UACGUAGGGUGCAAGCGUUAAUCGGAAUUACUGGGCGUAAAGCGUGCGCAGGCGGUUUUGUAAGUCUGUCGUGAAAUCCCCGGGCUCAACCUGGGAAUUGCGAUGGAGACUGCAAGGCUAGAAUCUGGCAGAGGGGGUAGAAUUCCACGUGUAGCAGUGAAAUGCGUAGAGAUGUGGAGGAACACCGAUGGCGAAGGCAGCCCCUGGGUCAAGAUUGACGCUCAUGCACGAAAGGCGUGGGGAGCAAACAGG
rnacentral:rRNA from 1 species